UACGUAGGGUGCAAGCGUUAAUCGGAAUUACUGGGCGUAAAGCGUGCGCAGGCGGUGAUGUAAGACAGAUGUGAAAUCCCCGGGCUCAACCUGGGAACUGCAUUUGUGACUGCAUCGCUGGAGUGCGGCAGAGGGGGAUGGAAUUCCGCGUGUAGCAGUGAAAUGCGUAGAUAUGCGGAGGAACACCGAUGGUGAAGGCAAUCCCCUGGGCCUGCACUGACGCUCAUGCACGAAAGCGUGGGGAGCAAACAGG
rnacentral:rRNA from 1 species